UUGCCUUUUCUUAGUUGUUUCUGUCUGUCUUGUAGCUCUUUAGUCCUUUUCUUUUCUUGCUCUCUUCCUUUGUAAUUUUGUUGACUGUUUGCAGCUGUUGGAGGCCGCACAAAUGUUUCUUAUAAUGAGGCAUAAUUGAAGCCUGUCAGUAACAAUAUGAACCUGUGGUCAAUUAAGCAGCUGACCAAUCGUUACCUCCUCCUUCUUGCUCUUGUUACCCAAUAAAUAAGAAGGGUUGUGGAAGCUCAGGGGCUGCCUUUCCUCACUAGAAGCAGGGAGCUCUCUUCUUCCCCAUGCUAGCCUUUCCUUAAAAUAGUUACUUUUGUUUUCUGUUAUGAUUUCUAUGUUCGUCCGUUCAUUCAGUCUUGUAAUGACAGUCUCAAGCAGUAACAGCAGUAACUGCUGUAAUGACGGUCUCAAGUAGUAGUAGUGGCAGUCGGCCACAUUUUAUAAUUUCUAUCUCUUUGCUGAUAUUCUCAUUUUGAUUAUGUAUCAUUUUCCUGAGCUCACUGAGCACCUUAAUGUCUGUCAUUUUAAAUUUUUUCACAGAUAAUCUAUAUACUUUCACUUCUUUAUGACCAGUUUCUAGAGUUUUAGUUUGGAAUGGACCACGUUUUAUUGUUUUACCAUGCGUCUUGUAACUUUUUGUUGAAAUUCAUUCAUUUGAAAAACAACCACUUCUCCCCAUCUUUGAAGAUAGACAUCAUACAGGGAGAAGACAGAAACUGGAAGUUCCUUCUCAAUUGGACUUUACUGAGCUAGCAGAGCACUGAACUUGGCAGGAAAAUCAGUAGGAGUAAGUGGCGGAGGCAUGGGACUGGCAGAGAUACGGCAGCCCCUGUGGAGAGGCUGUCUACAGAUAACAUAACAAUAACAACAGGAUCUGCGGGGUUCCUGCAUGCGUGUUGGCUUCACUGGAGAAACUAAUCAAGUGGUGCAGUUUGGACACAGAGACUGACACACAGGAAGAAUACCAUGUGAAGACUGGAGUUUUGCAUAGAGAAGCCAAGGAGCUACCAGAAGCUAGGAGAAUGGCCUGGAACAGACCUUUCCUUAGUGCCUUCAGAGAGAGCAUGGCGCUGCCAACAUCUUGAUCUCAGACUUCCAGCAUCCUGAAUUGUGAGAUAAAUUUCUGCUGUUUAAACCAUAUAAUUUGUGAUACUUUGCUAUGGCAACUGUCACAGCUAUUAUAAGCACCUAACCCUUUUUUUAAUCUUUUAAGAAACUUUUUGCUUUCAUCUACUUUUUUUGUUCUGGUUAUUCCAUAUUUUACUUUAAGAUUUAGUCUUCUGUCAAUAAAGCAAUAAUUUCAGAUCAAUUUCAAUAAAAAAUUAAUAAUGUCCAAACA
rnacentral:lncRNA from 10 species